rfam:Pseudomonas syringae pv. spinaceae strain ICMP16929 PspICMP16929_Contig_104, whole genome shotgun sequence.
CUUAAUCGAGCCCAGCAGCAGCGGCCGCUCCGCCGGGCGCUGGCCAUAGGUGGCCAGCAGGGCAUUGGCUUC